UAGUCCACGCCGUAAACGAUGGUCACUAGUUGUUGGGGUCUUGUACCUCAGUGAUUAAGAGAAAUUGAUAAGUGACCCACCUGGGGAGUACGAUCGCAAGGUUGAAACUCAAAGGAAUUGACGGGGGCCCGCACAAGCGGUGGAGCAUGUGGUUUAAUUCGAUGAUACGCGAGGAACCUUACCAGGGCUUAAAUGUAAGUUGCAUGAUUUAGAGAUAGAUCUUUCUUCGGACUACUUACAAGGUGCUGCAUGGUUGUCGUCAGCUCGUGCCGUGAGGUGUCAGGUUAAGUCCUAUAACGAGCGCAACCCCUACCGUUAGUUGCCAGCAUGUUAUGAUGGGGACUCUAGGGAGACUGCCGGUGUUAAACCGGAGGAAGGCGGGGAAUGGACGUCAAGGUCCUCAUGGCCCUUACGGGUAGGGCUACACACGUACUACAAUGGCAGAACAAACCGAAGCGAUAUUGCGAGAUGGAGCUAAACGGUAAACACUGUCUCAGUUCCGGAUUCGAAGUCUGCAACUCGA
rnacentral:rRNA from 1 species